CUUCGGGAAACCGGAGCUAAUACCGGAUAACAUUUGGAACCGCAUGGUUCUAAAGUGAAAGAUGGUUUUGCUAUCACUUAUAGAUGGACCCGCGCCGUAUUAGCUAGUUGGUAAGGUAACGGCUUACCAAGGCGACGAUACGUAGCCGACCUGAGAGGGUGAUCGGCCACACUGGAACUGAGACACGGUCCAG
rnacentral:rRNA from 1 species